GGGCGUGUGGUCUAGUGGUAUGAUUCUCGCUUUGGGUGACUGUAUGGUUUGCUGUACAUUCUACAAAUAUGCGAGAGGCCCUGGGUUCAAUUCCCAGCUCGCCCC